GCAAAGCUUUCAGCGAUUUCACCGGACCAGACUGUCGGUUUCUGUCAUUUAAAAAAGGAGAGACUAUAUAUGUCUACUAUAAACUCUCAGGCCAAAGGACAAAUAUAUGUGCAGGGAGUGACCAACUCGUAAUCAAUCACAUAUACACUGAAAAAGAAUUGGAGAUUCCUGCUGAGGAAACCGACAUUGUUUGCUUUGACACUGGACACGAUAAGUUUGACAGUUAUGACAUUGAUUCACUGUUAGGUUCCUCUUUAUUGUUAACAGA